rnacentral:rRNA from 1 species
GACGAACGCUGGCGGCGUGCUUAGCACAUGCAAGUCGAACGGAAAGGCCCUGCUUUUGUGGGGUGCUCGAGUGGCGAACGGGUGAGUAACACGGGAGUAACCUGCCCUGGACUUUGGGAUAACUUCAGGAAACUGGGGCUAAUACCGGAUAGGAGCUCCUGCUGCAUGGUGGGGGUUGGAAAGUUUCGGCGGUUGGGGAUGGACUCGCGGCUUAUCAGCUUGUUGGUGGGGUAGUGGCUUACCAAGGCUUUGACGGGUAGCCGGCCUGAGAGGGUGACCGGCCACAUUGGGCCUGAGAUACGGCCCAGACUCCUACGGGAGGCAGCAGUGGGGAAUAUUGCACAAUGGGCGGACGCCUGAUGCAGCAACGCCGCGUGCGGGAUGACGGCCUUCGGGUUGUAAACCGCUUUCGCCUGUGACGAAGCGUGAGUGACGGUAAUGGGUAAAGAAGCACCGGCUAACUACGUG